rnacentral:rRNA from 1 species
UGGGGAAUUUUGGACAAUGGGCGAAAGCCUGAUCCAGCAAUGCCGCGUGUGUGAAGAAGGCCUUCGGGUUGUAAAGCACUUUUGUCCGGAAAGAAAUGGCUCUGGUUAAUACCUGGGGUCGAUGACGGUACCGGAAGAAUAAGGACCGGCUAACUACGUGCCAGCAGCCGCGGUAAUACGUAGGGUCCAAGCGUUAAUCGGAAUUACUGGGCGUAAAGCGUGCGCAGGCGGUUGUGCAAGACCGAUGUGAAAUCCCCGAGCUUAACUUGGGAAUUGCAUUGGUGACUGCACGGCUAGAGUGUGUCAGAGGGGGGUAGAAUUCCACGUGUAGCAGCGAAAUGCGUAGAGAUGUGGAGGAAUACCGAUGGCGAAGGCAGCCCCCUGGGAUAACACUGACGCUCAUGCACGAAAGCGUGGGGAGCAAACAGG